rnacentral:rRNA from 1 species
UUGGUGAGGUAAUGGCUUACCAAGGCGAUGACGGGUAGCCGGCCUGAGAGGGUGACCGGCCACACUGGGACUGAGACACGGCCCAGACUCCUACGGGAGGCAGCAGUGGGGAAUAUUGCACAAUGGGCGCAAGCCUGACGCAGCGACGCCGCGUGAGGGAUGACGGCCUUCGGGUUGUAAACCUCUUUCAGUAGGGAAGAAGCGAAAGUGAUGGUACCUGCAGAAGAAGCGCCGGCUAACUACGUGCCAGCAGCCGCGGUAAUACGUAGGGCGCAAGCGUUAUCCGGAAUUAUUGGGCGUAAAGAGCUCGUAGGCGGUUUGUCGCGUCUGCCGUGAAAGUCCGGGGCUCAACUCCGGAUCUGCGGUGGGUACGGGCAGACUAGAGUGAUGUAGGGGAGACUGGAAUUCCUGGUGUAGCGGUGAAAUGCGCAGAUAUCAGGAGGAACACCGAUGGCGAAGGCAGGUCUCUGGGCAUUAACUGACGCUGAGGAGCGAAAGCAUGGGGAGCGAACAGGAUUAGAUACCCUGGUAGUCCAUGCCGUAAACGUUGGGCACUAGGUGUGGGGGACAUUCCACGUUUUCCGCGCCGUAGCUAACGCAUUAAGUGCCCCGCCUGGGGAGUACGG